AGGGGCCUUUUCUUUGGGGUACGUCAGGACAACCGGGUAUUGGCCGGCUGCUUUUCUUUCCCAACAAAAGAGCUUUACAACCCGAAGGCCUUCUUCACUCACGCGGCAUGGCUGGAUCAGGCUUGCGCCCAUUGUCCAAUAUUCCCCACUGCUGCCUCCCGUAGGAGUCCCCCCGUGCCCCCGCCCCGCCCGCCGCGCGCGGCGGGCAGGGCGGGGGCACGGGGGG
rnacentral:rRNA from 1 species